AGCAGCCGCGGUAAUUCCAGCUCCAAUAGCGUAUAUUAAAGUUGUUGCAGUUAAAAAGCUCGUAGUUGAAUUUCGGAAUCAGUACGCUGGUCGUGCCUUCGGUAUGUACUGGUGUCACUGGUUUCUCCCUUCUGAAGAACCAUCAUGCCAUUCACUUGGUGUGGUGGGAAAUCAGGACUGUUACUUUGAAAAAUUAGAGUGUUUAAAGCAGGCUCGCGCUUGAAUACAUUAGCAUGGAAUAAUGAAAUAGGACGUUAAUCCUAUUUUGUUGGUUUCUAGGAUCGACGUAAUGAUUAAUAGGGAUAGUUGGGGGCAUUAGUAUUCAAUUGUCAGAGGUGAAAUUCUUGGAUUUAUUGAAGACUAACUACUGCGAAAGCAUUUGCCAAGGAUGUUUUCAUUAAUCAAGAACGAAAGUUAGGGGAUCGAAGACGAUCAGAUACCGUCGUAGUCUUAACCAUAAACUAUGCCGACUAGGGAU
rnacentral:sRNA from 1 species